GCUGCCUGACGUCGAGGGGGCGGGGUCCUGGCUGUGACUUGGGGCGGCAUGCUGCGGCCCGGCCCUUUCCGCUCCGGGAUGCGGCGGAGUUGGGCCUUGAGGCAGCGCGUUUCGGAGGCUCGGUUCUCCGGGAAGCGGUGGCUGGUGGCUGGCCUGGGGAACCAUGGCAUGCCUGGCACGCGGCACAGCGUGGGCAUGGCAGUGCUGGGCCAGGUCGCGCGGCGCCUGGGAGUGGCGGAGAGCUGGGCUCGCGACCCUCGCUGCGCUGCUGACCUCGCCCUGGCCCCGCUUGGGGAUGCCCAGCUGGUGCUGCUCAGGCCGCGACGCCUCAUGAACAUCAACGGGCACAGCGUGGCCCAAGCUGCGGAGCUGUUUGGGCUGACUGCGGAGGAGAUCUACCUGGUACACGAUGAGCUCGACAAGCCCCUGGGAAAACUGGCUCUGAAGCUGGGGGGCAGCGCAAGGGGCCACAAUGGCGUCCGUUCCUGCAUUAGCUGUCUGAAAUCCAGUGCAAUGCCGAGGCUACGGGUAGGCAUCGGACGCCCCACACACCCUAAUAUGAUACCCGACCAUGUCCUGGGCUGCUUCUCCCCUGAGGAGCAGGAGCUACUGUCCCCAUUGCUGGAUCAGGCCACCGACCUGCUUCUGGACCACAUCCGUGCUCGAAGCCAGGAACCACCAUCGGGCCUCUGACUCCAGCGGACAUAUCUACCUGUUAGACUGACCAGACACAGCCACAGAACUGCCAUGACAGACACAUGUGGCAUUCUGGCGACGGUACACACUGACUGGCUGACGUCUUCCGGGAGUGAGUGUUGUGAAGCCCUGAAGUCUUGCCGGAGCUGGGUGGGAUGUGCUACAGGACUGCCCUUCAAGCCAAAUUGCCGCUGUCUUCGAGAGUGGGCCUGCUUGCAAAGAUCAUCUGGGCUGAGCUUGUUGACUGUUGACCUUCCCUCACAGAGGGGAAGCUGGGGAGGUGUGACUUGACCCGCCUGGGCUCCAGCCCCCCUUCCCAAGCAGCUGUAUGCAAUUCUGCUCUAACUGCACGUGGCCUCAGGGUCUUGGGAAGGGGCUGUGUACAUAGGCUGAGGAAGACUAGGCGAAGGGCUCCAUCUAUGUGGCCCUGGGGAAGUCAUCCAUCCCAUUUCCGGUGAGACUGCUUUGGGUUUCUCCAUGCUCCCAUUUGUAACCCCUCUCUCAGGCUCUGAGUAGGCUUAAGAAACUCAUGGGUUCCCUGGGGACCUUUGGAAUCAAACUUUGGUUUGUCAUUGGUACCUUAGUGAGGUGGGUAGUUGUUGCCUCACCCCUACCACCACCCUGGGCAAAAAUGCUUGAUACAUGUGAAGAUCUCCAAAUUAGCCUUGAAUUGAAACAUUCCUGCAUGCA